CUCCCGCUGUCACUGACAGACUCGCGCCCGCGCCGCCCCUCGCCCCGCCGCAGCGCGCACGCGCGGCCCGCGCACGCCGCCGCCAGAUCCGGGGCACGCGCACGGUGCGCGCGCCGGGACGACAGGGCUGCGGGACAGAGGCGGGCCGUGUGCUGAGGCCCCGCCCUCCGCCCUGCGCCCGGGGCCGCGCCGCGCCCUGACCGCGGGCUGCGCGCGAUGCGGGGAUUACGGACGCCGCUGAGAGACCGCCGUUCCUCGCAGGUCGGCCCCCAGACCCGCUCGGGGAAACCUGAGGGCAUCUACUAGUUAAGGAGCUGCUGAGCCAUGAGCAAGUGUCACCCGAGACUCGAGACCUGAGCGUGUUUGUGGCGACCAUCGCGGUGCAGUCCGAGCCCCAGCCUCUGCUGGCCAGACAGAGCCUCAAGGAGGCCGUGGUUGACCCUGGAAAGCUGGUGCCACUGAGACGCAGCUUCUGCAGCCCCAGGGAGGGUUUCCCUUCCCGUCCUUGGGUCGUCUUCCCCUCCUCCUGGACAACUGUUUUUCCGUUUCCACAGAGGAAGUUUUCAAAGCAAAAGUGACCUGGUGAGUGCUGUCUGCAAGGUGAAAUACAGCCCUCUGCUUCCCAGGGCACCAGUCCUGACUUUGUCAUCCACACACCUCACAGUACCUCCUGCCAGUCACCAGGGUCUGCGACCACUUUGCCUCACCAGGUUUCACUGCUAAAUUAGAAAAUAAAGUAAAAUGCCGUUUGUCUGCAUGGUGGAAUAUUAUUUGGCCGUGAAAAGGGGGUGGUGGGCUGAUUCACUGCUGUAACCUGGGUAAAUCUUGAAAACAUGAUGCUAAGUGAAAAAAGCCCAUCAGUAAAGACUUCAUAUUGUACAAUUCCAGUGUAUGAGAUGUCCAGAAUAGGCAAAUCCAAAGAGACAGAAAGCAGAUUAGUGAUUGUUGGGGAUUGGUGGUGAUGAGAAUGUUCCGGAACUACAUGGAGGUGGCAGUCACACAAUACUGUGAAAGUACUCAAUGCCACUGAAUUGUACACUUUGAAAUGGUUCAAACGGUAGAUUUUAUCUUAUGUG
ensembl:lncRNA